UUGUUGCAGUUAAAAAGCUCGUAGUUGAACCUUAGGCAAGGCGGCCUGGUCACCCACUGGGUGCACUGGGCUCGCCGCGCCUCACCUGCGGGGAACUAGUCGUGCUUCGGUGCGCUAGGGAACCGCGCCUUACUUUGAAGAAAUUAGAGUGUUUAAAGCAGGCUUUUGCUUGAAUACGCCAGCAUGGAAUAACAGGAUAGGACUUUGGUUCUAUUUUGUUGGUUUGAGGACCAAAGUAAUGAUUAAUAGGGCCAGUCGGGGGCAUUAGUAUUCUAUAGUCAGAGGUGAAAUUCUUGGAUUUAUAGAAGACUAACUAAUGCGAAAGCAUUUGCCAAGGAUGUUUUCAUUAAUCAAGAACGAAAGUUAGGGGAUCGAAGACGAUUAGAUACCGUCGUAGUCUUAACCAUAAACUAUGCCGACUAGGGAUCGGUGGAUGUCGCUUUUGACUCCAUCGGCACCUUACGAGAAAUCAAAGUUUUUGGGUUCUGGGGGGAGUAUGGUCGCAAGGCUGAAACUUAAAGGAAUUGACGGAAGGGCACCACCAGGAGUAGAGCCUGCGGUUUAAUUUGACUCAACACGGGAAAACUCACCAGGUCCGGACAUGGGAAGGAUUGACAGAUUGAGAGCUC
rnacentral:rRNA from 1 species